rnacentral:rRNA from 1 species
CCUACGGGCGGCAGCAGUGAGGAAUAUUGGUCAAUGGGCGCGAGCCUGAACCAGCCAAGUAGCGUGAAGGAUGACUGCCCUACGGUUUGUAAACUUCUUUUAUAAAGGAAUAAAGUGAGGAACGUGUGCCUUUUUGUAUGUACUUUAUGAAUAAGGAUCGGCUAACUCCGUGCCAGCAGCCGCGGUAAUACGGAGGAUCCGAGCGUUAUCCGGAUUUAUUGGGUUUAAAGGGAGCGUAGGUGGGUAAUUAAGUCAGUUGUGAAAGUUUGCGGCUCAACCGUAAAAUUGCCAUUGAUACUGGUAGUCUUGAGUACAGUUGAGGUAGGCGGAAUGCGUGGUGUAGCGGUGAAAUGCAUAGAUAUCACGAAGAACUCCGAUUGCGAAGGCAGCUUACUAAACUGUCACUGACACUGAUGCACGAAAGUGUGGGUAUCAAACAGGAUUAGAUACCCGAGUAGUC